UCCCAUUUAAGGAGAGGGUUCUUCAGGGU
rnacentral:piRNA from 1 species